rnacentral:rRNA from 1 species
UGCCUACGGGAGGCAGCAGUGAGGAAUAUUGGUCAAUGGGCGAGAGCCUGAACCAGCCAAGUCGCGUGAGGGAGUACUGCCCUAUGGGUUGUAAACCUCUUUUGUCGGGGAGCAAAAGCCGGACGUGUCCGGCUGUGAGAGUACCCGAAGAAAAAGCAUCGGCUAACUCCGUGCCAGCAGCCGCGGUAAUACGGAGGAUGCGAGCGUUAUCCGGAUUUAUUGGGUUUAAAGGGUGCGCAGGCGGUCUGUUAAGUCAGCGGUCAAAGCCCGGGGCUCAACCCCGGCCCGCCGUUGAAACUGGCAGG